rnacentral:rRNA from 1 species
AGAGCGAACGCUGGCGGCAGGCCUAACACAUGCAAGUCGAGCGCCCCGCAAGGGGAGCGGCAGACGGGAGAGUAACACGUGGGAACGUACCCUUCAGUUCGGAACAACCCAGGGAAACUUGGGCUAAUACCGAAUACGUCCGUAAGGAGAAAGAUUUAUCGCUGAAGGAUCGGCCCGCGUCUGAUUAGCUUGUUGGUGAGGUAAUGGCUCACCAAGGCUACGAUCAGUAGCUGGUCUGAGAGGAUGAUCAGCCACACUGGGAUUGAGAACGGCCCAGACUCCUACGGGGGGCAGCAGUGAGGAAUUUUCCGCAAUGGGCGCAAGCCUGACGGAGCAACGCCGCGUGCAGGAAGACGGUUUUCGGAUCGUAAACUGCUUUUCUCGGGGACGAGAACGGACGGUACCCGAGGAAUCAGCCCCGGCUAACUACGUGCCAGCAGCCGC